AUGACACCUUCACGAUUUGGAGCCAUGGAGAGGAAGAACUCAGCAAGUUCCUGGACCACUCUUAACAGCAUCCACCCAAACAUCCAAUUCACCAUGGAAAAAGAAAAGGAAGGAAAACUGCCAUUUCUAGAUGUUCUGGUCAUCCGCAAACCCAAUCAACAAUUGGGCCACACAGUUUACAGAAAACCUACUCACACAGAUAGAUACCUUCAUAAAAACUCCAACCAUCGCCCAAGUCAAAAAAGGAGCACAAUCAAAGCCCUGACAGACCGUGCACAAAGAAUCUGCGAACCUCACCUCCUCCAAGGUGAACUCAACCACCUAAACUGGGCUCUACAGGCCAAUGGAUACUCCACCACAGACAUCAGAAGAGCUGCAAGGCCAAGAACAAGCCAUGGGAGUCAAGACAAAGAUCCACCCAGAGGAAAGGUGUUCUUACCAUACAUCAAGGGAACUACUGACCGCAUAGGGAAGCUGAUGAAGAAGCACAACCUACAAACUAUCUACAGACCCACGAAGAAAAUCCAACAAAUGCUACGGUCAGCGAAGGACAAGAGGGAUCCUCUCUCUUCUGCAGGAGUCUACCGGAUACCAUGCAGCUGUGGACAAGUCUACAUAGGGACCACCAAACGCAGCGCCCAAACAAGAGUCAAAGAACAUGAAAGGCACUGCAGACUAAUUCAACCAGAGAAAUCAGCCAUAGCAGAGCAUUUGAUGAACCAGCCUGGACACAGAAUACUAUUUGAGAACACAAAAAUGCUGGACCAUUCUAACAACUAUCAUGUCAGACUACACAGAGAAGCCAUUGAAAUCCACAAGCAUGUGGACAACUUCAACAGAAAGGAAGAAACCAUGAAAAUGAACAAAAUCUGGCUACCAGUAUUAAAAAACUCAAGAAUCAGAACAGUAAAUAAAAAGCAAUACUAUGAAAACAGAGGAUUUCCAGACAUGAAUCAACCUAGGGCAGUUAACGACUCUAAACAAAGGAUGCCCCAGAGGCAGGAAGAAGACAGCAGAUAA
rnacentral:lncRNA from 1 species